GCUUUCCGACAGUGGUCUGUCCUACAGGUUGGCACCGAUACGUUGUUGUCGGAUCAGAUUUUGUUGUAGCUACCUGGGAGAACACGGGGCUCACCUGAAAGUGGAUCGCCUUCACUCGGCUCUCAAAAGUCCGCUUGGUUUCCACUUUGUUGUGCGAUAUUAAUGAAAAAAAGAGUGAGGCAGCGUACUUUGGCAGCGGAUAAAUAAUUAACCUGGCAACUCAAGAGGCAGUUUACAGAAGAGCUGACAUGAGGAGCUGAGCCAAGCAGUAGCGGAGUGCGCCUCUCGACCGCGACAGAAAGACAGGCCCACAGGUGUUUUUGAAUUUUUUCUGUUUCAUGUCAUUUGACCUGAAUACACUGCACUGUUAUCAUGCUCGGAGCGGAGAGCAGACUGGAAACCCGGUUGAAGAAGCUGGAGUCCCUGAUAAGGAACCCAGAGUCGGCACUAAACUUGGAAACCCUACUGGAUUCCAUGAACGCGCUGGCUCAUGAUUUGAACUAUCCUGCUCUGCGGAAAAACAAAAACAUUGAGGCCUUUCUGAGCCGAUAUGAAAAGGCAGCGAGUCAGCUGCGAGAACUGCAGGUGAAGCCUGACGACUUUGAAAAAGUGAAGUUGAUCGGGAGAGGAGCCUAUGGAGAAGUGAAGCUGGUCCGUCACAAGGCCUCUCGGAAGGUUUACGCCAUGAAGCAGCUCAGCAAGUUUGAGAUGAUCAAGCGGUCAGACUCUGCCUUCUUCUGGGAGGAGAGGCACAUCAUGGCCUUUUCCAACAGUCCUUGGGUCGUCCAGCUGUGCUGUGCUUUCCAAGAUGACCGCCACCUCUACUUGGUGAUGGAGUUCAUGCCUGGAGGCGACCUGGUCACGCUCACCAUGAACUAUGACAUACCUGAGAAGUGGGCUCGCUUCUACACAGCUGAAGUAGUGCUGGCGUUGAACGCCAUCCACUCCAUGGGCUUCAUCCAUCGGGACGUCAAACCUGACAACAUGCUGCUGGACCAACACGGACACCUCAAACUGGCAGAUUUCGGCACGUGCAUGAAGAUGGACUCGACAGGCAUGGUGCACUGUGAAACUGCUGUAGGCACACCAGACUACAUUUCCCCUGAGGUGCUUCAGUCUCAGGAUGGUGCCGGUUACUACGGCCGGGAGUGCGACUGGUGGUCUGUAGGAGUCUUUAUCUAUGAGUUGCUGGUCGGUGAAACUCCCUUCUAUGCUGAAUCCCUGGUUGGGACUUAUGGGAAGAUCAUGAACCACAAGAACACACUCAUCUUCCCAGAGGAUGUAGAGAUGUCUCAGGAUGCCAAAGACCUCAUCUGUGCCUUUCUUACUGACAGGAAGGUUCGUCUGGGACGCACUGGAGUGGAUGAGAUCAAGUGUCACCCUUUCUUUAAGAACGAUCAGUGGACCUUUGACAACAUCCGAGAGACUGUUGCUCCAGUUGUGCCUGAGCUGAACGGCGACAUAGACACCAGUAACUUUGAUGACAUAGAGGAUGAUAAAGGAGCUGCUGAGACCUUUUCUCCACCCAAGGCCUUUGUGGGCAACCAACUACCUUUCGUCGGCUUCACUUACUUCAAGGAGGACCAGCUGCUGAAGGGAAAUAACAACUGCUCUGUGGAGGAUUCAGAGGACAGUAAAGAACACUCUCAGGAUAAGGAUUAUUGCUCGGACAGUAAGAAAGAGCUGCAGAAAAAGCUUCAUCAGCUGGAGGAGCAGGUCGACCAUGAGAUGCAGGCCAAAGAUGAGCUGGAGCACAAGUGCAAAAUUGCCAACAACCGUUUAGACAAGCUGGUCAAAGAAUUAGACAAGGAGAUGAGUAGCAGGCAGAAAGUCGAGGCCUCACUGAGGCAGCUGGAGAGAGAGAGAGCUCUGCUGCAGCACCAGAGCACCGAGAACCUCCGCAAGGUGGAGAUUGAAACUGACAGAAAACGCAGCCUGGAGAACGAAUUGAACAACCUGAGGGACCAGCUAGAGGAUCUUAGAAAGAAGAACCAGAAUUCCCAGAUCUCCAAUGAGAACAACAUCCAGCUGCAGAGACAACUCGAGGAGGCCAACGCCGUGCUGCAGGCUGAGCAGGAGGCGGCAGCGCGGCUGAAGAAGAGUCAGGCAGAGGCGCAGAAACAGGCUGAGAGCCUGGAGGUCAGCCUCAGGGAGAUGCAGGAAAAGUGCAGCCAGCUUGAAAACAGCAAGAUGGAGCUGGAGAAGCGGCUGAUGGGGCUGCAGGCCGAGCUGGAGGAGGAGAGAAGACACCGCAACCUCGGGACAGAAACUAUUACUGACCUGCAGGGACGUAUCUCUGGCCUGGAAGAAGAGGUGAAAGACGUGAAGUCAUCUCUCUCCAAGGUCCAGUCUGAAAAGAAGCUGCUACAUGAGAAGCUCAAUGACCUCGAGAAGGAGAAGAGCAACCAAGAGAUUGACUUGACGUUCAAGCUGAAGUCGCUCCAACAGAGUCUGGAGCAGGAGGAGGCAGAACACAAAGCCACCAAAGCCAAGCUGGCAGAUAAAAACAAUAUCCACCAGUCCAUCGAGGAGAAGUCUGAGGCCUUAAAAAAGAUGGAAUGCACCCUGCAGGAGGAGCGCAGCUUGAAGCUGCAGUUGGAGGGAAAGCUGCUGCAACAACAGAAGGACCACUCCAUGCUGGACUGUGACUACAAGCAGGCGCAGCACAAACUGGAGGAGCUGCAGGCACAAAAGGAGAAAAUGUCUGAAGAGGUAAAAAGCCUGAGCGUGCGUCUAGAGCAGGAGAUCCACAAGCGGAGCAUGAGCCAGAGCGAUCUGAAGAUGCAGAACCAGCAGGUGUCAGUGCUCCUCUCCUCAGAGAAACAGCUCAAACAGGAGCUCAACCACCUGCUUGACAUGAAGCAGGUCCUGGAGAAACAGAACCAGGAGCUACGCAGGGAGAAGCAGGAGGUGGGUGGCCAGCUGAAGGAACUGAAAGACCAACUGGAGGCUGAGCAGUAUUUCACAACUCUUUACAAGACGCAGAUCCGUGAGCUGAAGGACGAGCGUGAUGAGAGGAACAAGCUGUACAAAGAGGUGCAGCAGCGACUGGCAGAAUAUCAGGAGGAGAGGAGUUCCAUGACAGCGCAGCUGGAAGCCAGUUUGACCAAGGCGGACUCUGAGCAGCUUGCUCGCUCUAUCGCUGAGGAGCAGUACUCGGAUCUGGAGAAGGAGAAGAUCAUGAAGGAGCUGGAGAUCAAAGACAUGAUGGCAAGACACAAACAGGAGCUCGGUGACAAGGAGGCCACCAUCAGCUCGCUGGAAGAGUCCAACCGCACUCUGACCGUGGACGUGGCCAACCUGGCCAGCGAGAAAGAGGAGCUCAACAACCAGCUGAAAGACAUGCAGCAACAGCUCCAGAAAAUGAAGGAGGAGGAGAAGCAGAUGAACUCGCUCAAACUGUCCUUUGAAAAGCUUCUGCAGAAUGAACGAACGCUUAAAAUUCAGGCUGUCAACAAGCUGGCCGAGGUGAUGAACAGGAGGGAGACAGGGCAAAGAGGCCACCGAAGCAUCGACACCGAGGUGCACAGGAAGGAGAAGGAGAACAGGAAGCUGCAGCUGGAGCUGAGAGCGGAGAAGGAGAAGCUCAACAGCACCAUCAUCAAGUACCAGAGAGAGCUGACGGAUAUGCAGGCGCUAAUAGCAGAAGAGAACCAGGUGCGUCUGGAGCUUCAGAUGGCAUUGGACAGCAAAGACAGUGACAUCGAGCAGCUUCGUUGCCAGAUCACCUCCCUCAGCGUUCACUCUCUGGACUCCACCAGCAUUAGCAGUGGCAACGACAUGGACAUGGGUGACGGAUACCCAGUGCGCAUUACUCACUCUCACACCUCAGAAUCAAUGUCCUUCACCUACCAGCGCACACACAAAUCUGUCUGCAUCGACACCCGGCCCAACCUUCACUCUGCUCACACUCUCUUCGACUCUGACUCUGAGGAUGAAGAAGAAUAUGACGGGCGGGUGGAGCAGGGCCACCGUCCCCUGGCCCUCACCUACGAACAGCCCCCUGAGGCUGAACCUGCAGACUCCAGGCUGGAGGGCUGGAUUUCACUUCCUACCAAGAACACAAAGCGGUUUGGCUGGGACAAAAAAUUUAUAGUUGUGAGCAGUAAGAAGAUCCUGUUCUACAACAGCGAGCUGGACCGAGAACAGGCCAACCCUUUCAUGACCCUGGACAUCGAUAAGCUGUUUCAUGUCCGACCUGUCACUCAAACUGACGUGUACCGUGCAGAUGCCAAAGAAAUUCCAAGGAUUUUCCAGAUCUUGUAUGCCAAUGAAGGCGAGAUUAAACGUGAACAGGAGCUUGCAGUGGAGCCCGCCCCGUAUGGUGACCGCCCCUCCUACAUCAGCCACAAGGGCCACGAGUUCAUCCUCACUCUGUACCACUUUCCCUCCAGCUGUGAGGCCUGUGCUCGGCCCCUGUGGCACGUUUUCAAGCCCCCGCCAGCCCUCGAGUGCCGCCGCUGCCACACCAAGUGCCACAAAGAUCACCUGGACAGAAAGGAGGAAGUUAUUGUGCCCUGCAAGGUGAACUACGACAUAUCCACUGCCAAAGAGCUGCUUCUGCUGACCAACUCUCAGGAGGAGCAGCAGCGCUGGGUCAGCCACCUCCUCAAACGCAUCCCGAGGAAACACCCAACAAUGAGUCCUCCCUCUGCGGCACAAAACAACCUUCAUGAAGCGACAUCAAGCUCCUCUCCGCGAGUCUCCCCGCGACCUUCACCCAGGGCUUCGCCUCGUAUGUCGGCCCAUCGCGGAGCCAUCAAGAUCCAGCCCAGCAGACAGCAGCAGCCAUCAGGCAAGCCCAGCACUGGCCCCAUGCUCCGUAUCAUCCUCCACUGACCUUUGACCUCUGACCUCUCCAUUCUAACGUCUCUCAUGCUGGGAGACUAUUGCUUGAGUUUGGCCUUAAAGACUGGAAUUGGCCGUUGGAUGAUGACGAUAAUGAUGAUGAUGAUGAUGAUUUGUUCUUCUGAAGGAAGUGAAAGAGGGGGUACAGAGGUUAACCCUGGUUGAUCAAAGAUGUGUAUUUUCAUCUUUGUGCAUAUAUGACCGCAGUCUGGAUGCAGUUCCUACAGUACAUGUUAUUUCUUCAGGGCAGUAGACUGAAAAAAAUGGACAGAAACUGGCUGUUGUCAUGAGAACUGGGGCUGCCUUUGUCAUUUUAACAAGAAGAAAAUGAGUAUGAGAGCGAGACUUCAUCUAUAGGAAAAGUUUUUUAAAAACUUGACUGAAACUGCCUUAUUUUAUAAACAUCAUGAAAAAUAUGGACAUUUUAUUCUGUCAGAUGCAGUGACUGACAUGGAUUUGUGUUUGUGAGGUGUUAGUCAUAUGUGUGAACAUUUGUAUAUAGGAUUAAGAUGUCUGUCUGUGUAUUGUAACACAAAGUGUAGCUCAUAGUAAAUGACAACAUGUCAGCAGCACAUUAUACAUUAUAUGCUUGUUUUGUAAAUUAAUACAGUUUUCAUUGCACAAAGUAGAUCCAUUACAACAGAAGACAGAAUAAUGUGAAUUGAACGGAAACAAUGUUUUCUUCUUUCCAUUCAUGACAAAUUCAAAUAAAUUAUGUAACCAUGAAAA